GAUGAACGCUGGCGGCGUGCCUAACACAUGCAAGUCGAGCGCGAUUAGUUGGACUGGAGGCUUCGGCCAAAGGGAAGACUAUGAAAGCGGCGGACGGGUGAGUAACGCGUGAGCAACCUGCCCUGUACAGGGGGAUAGCCACUGGAAACGGUGAUUAAUACCCCAUAAACCCAAAAGAUCGCAUGAUCUAAUGGGCAAAGUCCUAACGGUACAGGAUGGGCUCGCGUCUGAUUAGCUAGUUGGUGAGGUAAUGGCUCACCAAGGCGACGAUCAGUGGCCGACCUGAGAGGGUGAACGGCCACACUGGAACUGAGACACGGUCCAGACUCCUACGGGAGGCAGCAGUGGGGAAUAUUGCACAAUGGGCGCAAGCCUGAUGCAGCAACGCCGCGUGAGUGAUGAAGGCCUUCGGGUCGUAAAACUCUGUCCUAAGGGAAGAAGAAGUGACGGUACCUUAGGAGGAAGCCCCGGCUAACUACGUGCCAGCAGCCGCGGUAAAAC
rnacentral:rRNA from 1 species